rnacentral:rRNA from 1 species
UACGUAGGGGGCAAGCGUUGUCCGGAUUUAUUGGGCGUAAAGAGCGUGUAGGCGGCCAGGGAGGUCCGUUGUGAAAACUCGAGGCUCAACCUCGAGACGCCGAUGGAAACCCCCUGGCUAGAGUCCGGAAGAGGAGAAUGGAAUUCCUGGUGUAGCGGUGAAAUGCGCAGAUAUCAGGAAGAACACCCGUGGCUAAGGCGGUUCUCUAGUACGGUACUGACGCUGAGACGCGAAAGCGUGGGGGGAGCGAACAGG